GAUGAACGCUGGCGGCGUGCCUAAUACAUGCAAGUCGAGCGAACAGAUGAGAAGCUUGCUUCUCUGAUGUUAGCGGCGGACGGGUGAGUAACACGUGGGUAACCUACCUAUAAGACUGGGAUAACUCCGGGAAACCGGGGCUAAUACCGGAUAAUAUCUUGAACCGCAUGGUUCAAUAGUGAAUGACGGUUUCGGCUGUCACUUAUAGAUGGACCCGCGCCGGAUUAGCUAGUUGGUAAGGUAACGGCUUACCAAGGCGACGAUACGUAGCCGACCUGAGAGGGUGAUCGGCCACACUGGAACUGAGACACGGUCCAGACUCCUACGGGAGGCAGCAGUAGGGAAUCUUCCGCAAUGGGCGAAAGCCUGACGGAGCAACGCCGCGUGAGUGAUGAAGGUCUUCGGAUCGUAAAACUCUGUUGUUAGGGAAGAACAAAUUUGUUAGUAACUGAACAAAUCUUGACGGUACCUAACCAGAAAGCCACGGCUAACUACGUGCCAGCCGCCGCCGUAA
rnacentral:rRNA from 1 species